rnacentral:SRP_RNA from 1 species
GCCAGGCGUGGUGGCUCAUGCCUGUAGUCCCAGCUACUUGGGAGGCUGAGACAUGAGAAUCGCUUGAACCCAGGAGGUGGAGCUGCAGUGAGCUGAGAUUGCGCCAUUGCACUCCAACCUGGGUGACAGAGUGAGACUCUGUCUCAA